AGUCACAACAGCGCUCGGACGUUUCCAUCGUCUGGUUCGGGGGUGUGACAUGUUAGGCGGUGGCGAGUUCGAGAUUAAAGUGUGAGGAUAUCUGCUUUCUGCUUUUCUUGUGAGUCUUCUCACUAUACUUUACCUAGAGUGGUAACAGAGUUAUGUGACUGAGUUAUUGUAUGUUAUGUAUGCAUUGUGUGUCACUGCAUUAUUUCUAUGUGAUUUAUGUUGUGUGUAUAUCAGAGUUAGGACCGGAAGGUCCACAGAGCUAGGACUAGAGGGUCCACAGAGUCAGGAUUAGAUUUAUGUGACAGUGUAUUCGUAUGCUAUUUAUUUUAUGAGAUUUAUUGUGAUAUGUGAUAUGCAUGAUUCAGAGUUAUCAGAGUUAGGACCUUUGGGUCCAUAGAGUUAGGGCUAGAGGGUCCACAGAGUCAGGAUUAGAUUUAUGUGACAGUGUAUUCGUAUGCUAUUUAUUUUAUGAGAUUUAUUGUGAUAUGUGAUAUGCAUGAUUCAGAGUUAUCAGAGUUAGGACCUUUGGGUCCAUAGAGUUAGGGCUAGAGGGUCCACAGAGAGUUGGGAUUGGAGGGUCCCAUUGAG
rnacentral:lncRNA from 1 species